UACGUAGGCAGCAAGCGUUGUUCGGAGUUACUGGGCGUAAAGAGUAUGUAGGCGGUUGGGUAAGUUUGGUGUGAAAUCUCCCGGCUUAACUGGGAGGGUGCGCUAAAGACUGCCUGGCUUGAGUGUGGGAGAGGAAAGCGGAAUUCCUGGUGUAGCGGUGAAAUGCGUAGAUAUCAGGAGGAACACCUGCGGUGUAGACGGCUUUCUGGACCAUAACUGACGCUGAGAUACGAAAGCGUGGGUAGCAAACAGG
rnacentral:rRNA from 1 species